AUGUCGACGCAGGCGAACUCGUAUGCCUGGAGCACAAUCAUGCCCUCGGGAACAAACAUCUCGAGCCCGGCCUCUGGGUUGGGCGGCAGCUCCACUUGUCCCACUCAAAGGCUCCCUAGACAAUGGCCUCUAGGUCGUCGGGCACCACCAUUAACAAGCUGGAAGAGGCGGUUCUUGCCACCUCCAUUGCUCCUCCCAUCGGCCACCGCCACCACCUUUGCUCGUCCAGCCGAUGCGGCCACCGCUGCGCGGAACAAUGCAGGCGAUAUUGAUCACACUGGUGUUGUGCGAGGCCAACACAUAGUUGUUGCUGGUGGCUCGGGAGAUGGAGGCGGUUUCCCCGGCGCCGCCCCUCUCCAUCAUCCCUCCCUCCCUUGCCGUCACCCGAGGCGGUCGCCGGGCAGCGCCUGUGCGGCUGCCGAUGACGGUGGCGGCGAGGUCUCCGUCGCUUCUCUCUCGAGAAUGACCCGGAUCCAGGGCGGCGGCCCUUGGCGGCGAGGCGGCGCCGUCUCCGGCUGGCGGCGUGCGCGGGAGGUGCGGGCCGGCUUCCUCGGCUGCUCGGGCAGCGAGGAGCAGGCGGAUUGCGGCCAUGGGGCGGCGAGGUCAUCCUUCCUCCGCUCCAGAUCUGAAGGUCAGGCUCCCCUCUCCGCUCUCUGCCUCCGCUGGCUCGUUCGAUUUGGGGCCUCUGGCCGAUGGAUCCGGUGCCGGCGGGCACGGCGGCGGCGGCGCCUUUUGGCAUCGUUCUACUCCCUGGAGUCGCCGUUGUGGGCUCCCCUCCACACCCCGGCCAAUGUUCCCAGGCGAAAGCUCGAAUCCCUGCUGGAUGGGCGACGGCGGCGGCGGCGCCAGGUACGUCGUGUCCUCCUUGGAGGCGCCGCCUGGGGAAGAUUGGUGCUUUGGGGUUGCGUGCAGCAGCUUGUAGGUGGGCGACUGGUGUCUAUCGAGUCCCUGUGGCUCGGUAGCUCCUUCACUUCGGCAACUCUUCCGACGGCUUACCCUCUACGAUUGGCCGCCUUUGGUGUCUGCGGUGUUGCUGUUGUGUGUGUGCUCCGACUUGUGGUCGUGCUCCGUGGCAGGCCCAGUCUCGAGACCAACCAUUGCUCAAGCUCUCGGGUGAGCGUCUCUUCAUUCGACGAUGCGGCGCCUUCGAGCCUAGGCGAGGGGAAGGGAUCCCCUUCGAUGUUAGAGAGGGCAAGUGUUGGGUCAUCUCAUCUGCUGGUUUCCAGUCCUGUGUUCAAUUCCUCUGCCGGUGCUGUGGUUUCCAGUCUUGUGUUCAAUUCCUCUGCCGUUCCGAUGCAAGAUUGGCCGAAACCAGAUAUAAAACGCUGGCAGGGGACGUCCACAUGUGUGCUACCUGAUGAGCUUGUGGUGGACAUUCUGUCUCGACUGCCGCUGAAGUCCAUUUGCCGCUUCAAAUGUGUCUGCAAGUAUUGUCUUGCCUUCUCAUCUCAUCCAUACUACAGCCAGAGGUUCUCCCAAGAACUCCCACUGGUCUCUUGUACUAGAAACGUGGGCAUGGCAGGCUUCCCCGAUCUCUUGGCAUUCCCAUACAUCCUGCAAGAUUUCCUUCAAGAUUGCAGCAAUGGCCUACUUCUUUGUUAUGAGGGAGGUGCUGCACACUUUAAAGAAAUUUCCGAUGUGAUUGUGCGCAAUCCAGCAACUCAAGAGUGGAUGGCAUUUCCGGAUACUGAACCUGGACCAUCCGUCUUUUUUGCUCAUCUCAAGUUGUGUUUUGAUCCAUUAUGGUCUCAACACUUCUAUGUCUUCAAAUUUGAGUCGAGCGUGGUCCUGAGCCCUCAUAUUGAAACCUCCACUGAAGUAAAUGUGUUUUUCUCUGAGGAUUCCACAUGGUCUAGUUGUCUUUGGGAAGCUGGAGAUGCAUUUGAUGGUGAUUCUCUCUUUGUAAAUGGGGUGUUGUAUGUGAAGCACGUAUGGGCUCAUGCAAUUCUGGCACUUGACGCACUUGACAGAUGUACACAGUGGCUCGAUCAUAGGAUCAUUCAGCUGCCAGGAUAUCCAAAUAGGUCCAAAAUGACUUUAUGUUUGAAUGGAUGUAUUGGCCAGUCUUCAGGCGUCUUAUGCUACACGAAACAAGAAUUCGAUGGAUGCGCAAUACGGAUUUAUAGUUUGCAAGUCCCUAACGGGUGUGCGGUGAAGUAUCGUGCCAGCCUCUCCAGGGAGAUGGGGGCAAAUACCCCUAACGUGUCCGGCACACCGCGCCCCGUCCAGGAUCGUAACGAGUGCGUCCACCACAAGGUUGAAGAGGAAGGGGAGAUGGGGUCGCCCUGUCGGACACCCUGCCUGUGGGGAAGAAUGGACCCACAUCCCCAUUAA
rnacentral:rRNA from 1 species